rnacentral:rRNA from 1 species
CAGCCGCCGCGGUAAUACCGGCGGCCCGAGUGGCGGUCACUAUUAUUGGGCUUAAAGCGUCCGUAACCGGGGUGGGAAGUCCUCCGGGAAAUCUGGCCGCUUAACGGUCAGAAUGCCGGAGGAUACUCCCAGCCUAGGGAGCGGGAGAGGCCGAGGGUAUUCCCGGAGUAGGGGUGAAAUCCUAUAAUCCCGGGAGGACCACCUGUGGCGAAGGCGCUCGGCUGGAACGCGUCCGACGGUGAGGGACGAAGGCCAGGGGAGCAAACCGGAUUAGAUACCCGGGUAGUCCUGGCUGUAAACGAUGCGGACUUUGUGUCGGACAAGCUAUGAGCUUGUCCGGUGCCGGAGGGAAACCGUUAAGUCCGCCGCCUGGGGAGUACGGCCGCAAGGCUGAAACUUAAAGGAAUUGGCGGG